ACCCAAGGUGAUUCCGUCUCCGGGGCGGGGGGGGGCUAAUAGUUGCCCCUCUUCAGGAAAGUAGCAACUUGGAAUAAAAUUUGGCAUGCCUCAGCUCUUCAGGGCAGGAGGUCAUGUGCAAUUUCCUUUGCCUUCCUUUGGCUGCCUACAUGU